rnacentral:rRNA from 1 species
UACGAAGGGUGCAAGCGUUACUCGGAAUUACUGGGCGUAAAGCGUGCGUAGGUGGUUUUUAAGUCCGUUGUGAAAGCCCUGGGCUCAACCUGGGAAUGGCAGUGGAUACUGGAAAGCUAGAGUGCGGUAGAGGGGUAGUGGAAUUCCCGGUGUAGCAGUGAAAUGCGUAGAGAUCGGGAGGAACACCAGUGGCGAAGGCGGGCUACCUGGACCAGCACCUGACACUGAGGCACGAAAGCGUGGGGAGCAAACAGG